UGUACUCGGUGUGUUUUUAAUAAAGAUGUUUUUCGUUUAUAUAUGUGUAUAGAGAUGGAAGAUAUAUGCAUUGUUGACUGCGCAACCACACACACUAUUUUACAGAGUCAGAAAUACUUCUCACAGUUGACUAAAACCAACUCACAUGUCUGGACGGUAUCGGGCACAUCAAAUAUAAUAAAAGGUUUUGGGAAAGCUAGUUUUAUUCUACCAAAUAAGACACACAUACACAUACAAGAGGCUCUAUACUCUAGCAAGU
rnacentral:lncRNA from 1 species